rnacentral:rRNA from 1 species
CCUACGGGUGGCUGCAGUGGGGAAUAUUGGACAAUGGGGGGAACCCUGAUCCAGCCAUGCUGCGUGUGUGAAGAAGGCCCUCGGGUUGUAAAGCACUUUCAGUGAGGAAGAACGCCUGGUGGUUAAUACCCAUCAGGAAAGACAUCACUCACAGAAGAAGCACCGGCUAACUCCGUGCCAGCAGCCGCGGUAAUACGGAGGGUGCGAGCGUUAAUCGGAAUUACUGGGCGUAAAGCGCGCGUAGGUGGCUUGAUAAGCCGGUUGUGAAAGCCCCGGGCUCAACCUGGGAACGGCAUCCGGAACUGUCAAGCUAGAGUGCAGGAGAGGAAGGUAGAAUUCCCGGUGUAGCGGUGAAAUGCGUAGAGAUCGGGAGGAAUACCAGUGGCGAAGGCGGCCUUCUGGACUGACACUGACACUGAGGUGCGAAAGCGUGGGUAGCAAACAGGAUUAGAUACCCGGGUAGUC